rnacentral:rRNA from 1 species
AUGGCCGGCGCCUCCCCUCUCCUCCUGCUCUGCUUCCUCCUCCUUGUUUCGAUGGCGGUGGCGGACCAGUGCCACGACGACGACCAUGCCGCCUUGGUUGCCAUCGACACCGCCAUGGGCAGCCCCUACCACUUCGCGUCUUGGACGCCCGACUCCGCCUGCUGCGACUGGUACGACGUCGACUGUGAUGCCGACACGGGCCGCGUCGUUGGUCUCCGUGUCUACCAGGACACCAACAUGUCCGGCGCCAUCCCGGACGCCAUCGGCAACCUCACCUUCCUCGAGACCCUCACCCUCCACCACCUCCCGGCCAUAUCCGGUGCCAUCCCGGACUCCCUCGCCACACUUUCCAACCUCUCGGAGCUCACAAUCUCCUACACGGGUGUGUCCGGCCCGGUGCCCUCCUUCCUCGGCAUGCUCACCGCACUCACCCUCCUCGACCUCUCCUACAACUCCCUCACCGGCGCCAUCCCACCGUCCCUCGCCGACCUCCUCAGCCUCUCCAGUAUCAACCUCCGCCGCAACAGCCUCUCCGGCGCCAUCCCGUCGCUCCUCUUGUCCAAGUCCCCCAACGGCGCCUACCUCCAGCUCUCCCACAACAACCUCUCCGGCGCCAUCCCGACUGAGUUCGCCGCCGUCAACUUCUCCUACAUCGACCUCUCCCGCAACGCCCUCUCCGGCGACGCCACCAGCCUCUUCGGCGCAGAGAAGGCCAUCCAGCACCUCGACGUGUCCCGCAACGCCCUCAACUUCGACCUCUCCGCUGUGGAGUUCCCGGAGCAGCUCACCUACACCGACCUCAGCCACAACGCCAUCCACGGCUCCAUCCCAGCGCAGGUGGCGACCCUGGCUGGCCUCCAGCAGUUCAACGUGAGCUUCAACAGGCUGUGCGGCGCCGUGCCCACCGGCGGCAACAUGUCCAGGUUCGACCGCUACAGCUACCUCCACAACAAGUGCCUCUGCGGCACGCCGCUCACCGCCUGCCGCCAGCGGCCCGUCGGCUACCUCCAUUAG